rnacentral:rRNA from 1 species
UACGUAGGGGGCAAGCGUUGUCCGGAAUCAUUGGGCGUAAAGAGCGCGUAGGCGGUCCGGUAAGUCCGCUCUGAAAGUCCGGGGGCUCAACCCCGGGAGGCGGGCGGAUACUGUCGGGCUAGAGUCCGGAAGAGGCGAGUGGAAUUCCUGGUGUAGCGGUGAAAUGCGCAGAUAUCAGGAGGAACACCAAUGGCGAAGGCGGUUCUCUGGGCAUUACCUGACGCUGAGGAGCGAAAGUGUGGGGAGCGAACAGG